GAACUUAAGCAUAUCAAUAAGCGGAGGAAAAGAAACCACCAGGGAUUGCCUCAGUAACGGCGAGUGAAGCGGCAACAGCUCAAAUUUGANNUCUGGCCCCGUCGGGGUCCGAGUUGUAAUUUGUAGAGAGUGUUUCGGGUGAGACCACGGUCUAAGUCUAUUGGAACAUGGCGUCAUAGAGGGUGAGAAUCCCGUAUGUGACUGUGGCUCGAGCCCAUGUGAAGCCUCUUCGACGAGUCGAGUUGUUUGGGAAUGCAGCUCAAAAUGGGUGGUAAAUUUCAUCUAAAGCUAAAUACUGGCUGGAGACCGAUAGCGCACAAGUAGAGUGAUCGAAAGAUGAAAAGCACUUUGGAAAGAGAGUCAAAAAGUACGUGAAAUUGUUGAAAGGGAAGCGCUUGCAACCAGACCUGUCCGUAGGUGAUCAGCCGCUGUUCUCAGCGGUGCACUCGCUCUGCGAUCAGGCCAGCAUCGGUUUCGGCGGUCGGAUAAAGGCCUUGGGAAUGUAGCUUCCUUCGGGGAGUCUUAUAGCCCUCGGUGCAAUGCGGCCAGCCGGGACCGAGGACCGCGCUUCGGCUAGGAUGCUGGCGUAAUGGUUGUAAGCGACCCGUCUUGAAACACGGACCAAGGAGUCUACCAUCUAUGCGAGUGUUUGGGUGUUAAACCCAUGCGCGGAAUGAAAGUGAACGGAGGUGAGAACCCUUUAGGGCGCAUCAUCGACCGAUCCAGAUGUCUUCGGAUGGAUUUGAGUAUGAGCAUAGCUGGUGGGACCCGAAAGAUGGUGAAACUAUGCCUGAAUAGGGUGAAGCCAGAGGAAA
rnacentral:rRNA from 1 species